rnacentral:tRNA from 2 species
GGGCGUGUAGCUCAGCUGGGAGAGCACCUGCUUUGCAAGCAGGGGGUCACCGGUUCGAUCCCGGUCACGUCCACCA